AUGAAUGCUACCUGGUUGAUCCUGCCAGUAG
rnacentral:rRNA from 1 species